UUCUCCAUUAUUCCCAUAUUUUUGUAAAAAAUUCACACUACCCCCUUUUUAUAUUAAAUUUUGGGCUACGUUACUUCUCGAGUGGGUGGGGUGAGAAAACUAGCGUUGUCAACGAGGAAGGAUGUCAGAUUUUAUCUAAGAGCUUUUUGUAAUCAGCAAAUGUGGUCUGUGAGGGGUCGAACGCUUAAGAUUUAUUUCAUGUCACACUAUGUUAUCGUUGUACAUGCUAUACAACAGUGUUAAUACAAUGAUAUUUCUUCGCUGACAUUCUGUCUCCAAACCAGUCCG